rnacentral:piRNA from 1 species
UAUAUGUUUAAAUGGAAAAGAAAUUGUAAA